rnacentral:rRNA from 1 species
UACGGAGGAUGCGAGCGUUAUCCGGAUUUAUUGGGUUUAAAGGGUGCGUAGGCGGUCCGGAAAGUCAGCGGUAAAAGCCCGGGGCUCAACCCCGGCGAGCCGUUGAAACUGUCGGACUAGAGACGGCGAGAAGUACGCGGAAUGCGCGGUGUAGCGGUGAAAUGCAUAGAUAUCGCGCAGAACUCCGAUUGCGAAGGCAGCGUACCGGCGCCGGACUGGCGCUGAGGCACGAAAGCGUGGGUAUCGAACAGG